UACGGAGGGGGCUAGCGUUGUUCGGAAUUACUGGGCGUAAAGCGCACGUAGGCGGAUUUGUAAGUCAGGGGUGAAAUCCCGGGGCUCAACCUCGGAACUGCCUUUGAUACUGCAAAUCUCGAGUCCGGAAGAGGUAAGUGGAAUUGCGAGUGUAGAGGUGAAAUUCGUAGAUAUUCGCAAGAACACCAGUGGCGAAGGCGGCUCACUGGCCCGAUACUGACGCUGAGGCACGAAAGCGUGGGGAGCAAACAGG
rnacentral:rRNA from 1 species